rnacentral:rRNA from 8 species
UUAAAUUGAAGAGUUUGAUCAUGGCUCAGAUUGAACGCUGGCGGCAGGCCUAACACAUGCAAGUCGAACGGUAACAGGAAGCAGCUUGCUGCUUUGCUGACGAGUGGCGGACGGGUGAGUAAUGUCUGGGAAACUGCCUGAUGGAGGGGGAUAACUACUGGAAACGGUGGCUAAUACCGCAUAACGUCGCAAGACCAAAGAGGGGGACCUUCGGGCCUCUUGCCAUCAGAUGUGCCCAGAUGGGAUUAGCUUGUUGGUGAGGUAACGGCUCACCAAGGCGACGAUCCCUAGCUGGUCUGAGAGGAUGACCAGCCACACUGGAACUGAGACACGGUCCAGACUCCUACGGGAGGCAGCAGUGGGGAAUAUUGCACAAUGGGCGCAAGCCUGAUGCAGCCAUGCCGCGUGUAUGAAGAAGGCCUUCGGGUUGUAAAGUACUUUCAGCGGGGAGGAAGGUGUUGUGGUUAAUAACCGCAGCAAUUGACGUUACCCGCAGAAGAAGCACCGGCUAACUCCGUGCCAGCAGCCGCGGUAAUACGGAGGGUGCAAGCGUUAAUCGGAAUUACUGGGCGUAAAGCGCACGCAGGCGGUCUGUCAAGUCGGAUGUGAAAUCCCCGGGCUCAACCUGGGAACUGCAUUCGAAACUGGCAGGCUUGAGUCUUGUAGAGGGGGGUAGAAUUCCAGGUGUAGCGGUGAAAUGCGUAGAGAUCUGGAGGAAUACCGGUGGCGAAGGCGGCCCCCUGGACAAAGACUGACGCUCAGGUGCGAAAGCGUGGGGAGCAAACAGGAUUAGAUACCCUGGUAGUCCACGCCGUAAACGAUGUCUACUUGGAGGUUGUGCCCUUGAGGCGUGGCUUCCGGAGCUAACGCGUUAAGUAGACCGCCUGGGGAGUACGGCCGCAAGGUUAAAACUCAAAUGAAUUGACGGGGGCCCGCACAAGCGGUGGAGCAUGUGGUUUAAUUCGAUGCAACGCGAAGAACCUUACCUGGUCUUGACAUCCACGGAAGAAUUCAGAGAUGGAUUUGUGCCUUCGGGAACCGUGAGACAGGUGCUGCAUGGCUGUCGUCAGCUCGUGUUGUGAAAUGUUGGGUUAAGUCCCGCAACGAGCGCAACCCUUAUCCUUUGUUGCCAGCGGUCCGGCCGGGAACUCAAAGGAGACUGCCAGUGAUAAACUGGAGGAAGGUGGGGAUGACGUCAAGUCAUCAUGGCCCUUACGACCAGGGCUACACACGUGCUACAAUGGCGCAUACAAAGAGAAGCGACCUCGCGAGAGCAAGCGGACCUCAUAAAGUGCGUCGUAGUCCGGAUUGGAGUCUGCAACUCGACUCCAUGAAGUCGGAAUCGCUAGUAAUCGUGGAUCAGAAUGCCACGGUGAAUACGUUCCCGGGCCUUGUACACACCGCCCGUCACACCAUGGGAGUGGGUUGCAAAAGAAGUAGGUAGCUUAACCUUCGGGAGGGCGCUUACCACUUUGUGAUUCAUGACUGGGGUGAAGUCGUAACAAGGUAACCGUAGGGGAACCUGCGGUUGGAUCACCUCCUUACCUGAAAGAAGC